rnacentral:rRNA from 1 species
UACGUAGGGUGCAAGCGUUGUCCGGAAUUAUUGGGCGUAAAGAGCUCGUAGGCGGUCUGUCGCGUCGGCUGUGAAAACCCGAGGCUCAACCUCGGGCCUGCAGUCGAUACGGGCAAACUAGAGUACUGCAGGGGAGACUGGAAUUCCUGGUGUAGCGGUGAAAUGCGCAGAUAUCAGGAGGAACACCGGUGGCGAAGGCGGGUCUCUGGGCAGUAACUGACGCUGGAGGAGCGAAAGCCGUGGGGAGCGAACAGG